AUUGAACGCUGGCGGAACGCUUUACACAUGCAAGUCGAACGGUAGAGGGGGCAACCCCUCGAGAGUGGCGAACGGGUGAGUAAUAUAUCGGAACGUGCCCAGUCGUGGGGGAUAACGUAGCGAAAGUUACGCUAAUACCGCAUACGAUCUACGGAUGAAAGCGGGGGAUCGCAAGACCUCGCGCGAUUGGAGCGGCCGAUAUCAGAUUAGGUAGUUGGUGGGGUAAAGGCCCACCAAGCCAACGAUCUGUAGCUGGUCUGAGAGGACGACCAGCCACACUGGAACUGAGACACGGUCCAGACUCCUACGGGAGGCAGCAGUGGGGAAUUUUGGACAAUGGACGCAAGUCUGAUCCAGCCAUUCCGCGUGCAGGAUGAAGGCCCUCGGGUUGUAAACUGCUUUUGUACGGAACGAAAAGCCUGGGGCUAAUAUCCCCGGGUCAUGACGGUACCGUAAGAAUAAGCACCGGCUAACUACGUGCCAGCCGCCGCCGUAA
rnacentral:rRNA from 1 species